rnacentral:rRNA from 1 species
AGUGAACGCUGGCGGUAGGCCUAACACAUGCAAGUCGAACGGCAGCACAGGAGAGCUUGCUCUCUGGGUGGCGAGUGGCGGACGGGUGGGGAAUACAUCGGAAUCUACUCUGUCGUGGGGGAUAACGUAGGGAAACUUACGCUAAUACCGCAUACGACCUACGGGUGAAAGCAGGGGAUCUUCGGACCUUGCGCGAUUGAAUGAGCCGAUGUCGGAUUAGCUAGUUGGCGGGGUAAAGGCCAACAAAGGCGACGAUCCGUAGCGGGUCUGAGAGGAUGAUCAGCCAAACUGGAACUGAGACGCGGUCCAGACUCCUACGGGAGGCAGCAGUGGGGAAUAUUGGACAAUGGGCGCAAGCCUGAUCCAGCCAUACCGCGUGGGUGAAGAAGGCCUUCGGGUUGUAAAGCCCUUUUGUUGGGAAAGAAAUCCAGCUGGCUAAUACCCGGUUGGGAUGACGGUACCCAAAGAAUAAGCACCGGCUAACUUCGUGCCAGCCGCCGCCGUAA